CGCACGGAGCGCUUGAGGGUAAAACUGGUGACUGGGGCUAAGUCGUAACAAGGUAGCCGUACCGGAAGGUGCGGCUGGAACACCUCCUUUCUGGAGACACGAGGCUCUCUGAGAGGUUUAGACAAGAGGGUUGAUCCUUCGUCUAGAGCUCUCGUCAAGACCUAUCUCUAAGAUUGGUGCUAUUUUUUCUUACAAGUCUAUCAGACGCAGUGAGGCACGGAUAGGAGAUCGUCAGUAGGUAACACACACGAUGAAGGUAGAAUUAGUUAUGAAAUCCAUAUAACAUGGAGAAUCGAUGAAGCGAGAGCGACCCUGAGGCAACGCUCAGAGGCUGUCGGUCUAAGCUAGGCAGGCAGGAAUAGAGAGCGGUCUCGAGACGUCGUCCACGUGUAGAGCGAUAACCCAUGAUAGGAUAUACGGCUCAGAUCAUACUGCGGUAUGGUUGUCGAGAGAGUCCUAUAGCUCAGUUGGUUAGAGCGCUACACUUGAUAAUGUAGAGGUCGGCAGUUCAACUCUGCCUGGGACUACGAUAGGGCGGCACCACGGGGCUUAGUAUAUCUUAAGCAAGAUGGACGGGGGAUUAGCUCAGCUGGCUAGAGCACCUGCUUUGCAAGCAGGGGGUCAUCGGUUCGAAUCCGAUAUUCUCCACACGGAUGCUAACAGCAUCAAGUGAUCUUUGACAUACGUAGCAAUAGAAACAAUAGAAACGAGUAACGAGCGUGCUUAGAAAUAAGUACGAACAAAUAAAGAAUACAAAGCGAGUAACGAUUUUAGAUCGUGCGCUAAGUAGUAUAACUCAACUAGAGAUUGUAUCGACGUAAGUUGAUGCAAUGCUCAAGGCGGAAAAGUUAUAAGGGC
rnacentral:misc_RNA from 1 species